AUUGAACGCUGGCGGCAGGCCUAACACAUGCAAGUCGAGCGGAUGAAGGGAGCUUGCUCCUGGAUUCAGCGGCGGACGGGUGAGUAAUGCCUAGGAAUCUGCCUGGUAGUGGGGGAUAACGUCCUGAAACGGGCGCUAAUACCGCAUACGUCCUGAGGGAGAAAGUGGGGGAUCUUCGGACCUCACGCUAUCAGAUGAGCCUAGGUCGGAUUAGCUAGUUGGUGGGGUAAAGGCCUACCAAGGCGACGAUCCGUAACUGGUCUGAGAGGAUGAUCAGUCACACUGGAACUGAGACACGGUCCAGACUCCUACGGGAGGCAGCAGUGGGGAAUAUUGGACAAUGGGCGAAAGCCUGAUCCAGCCAUGCCGCGUGUGUGAAGAAGGUCUUCGGAUUGUAAAGCACUUUAAGUUGGGAGGAAGGGCAGUAAGUUAAUACCUUGCUGUUUUGACGUUACCAAAAGAAUAAGCACCGGCUAACUUCGUG
rnacentral:rRNA from 1 species